GAGGGUAUAGCUCAAAUGGCAGAGCACAUGCUUAGCACGUACAAGGUUCUGAGUUCAAUUCCCAGUACCCCUU
rnacentral:tRNA from 1 species